UACGGAGGGGGCAAGCGUUGUCCGGAAUUACUGGGCGUAAAGCGCGCGCAGGCGGUCUUCCAAGUCAGUGGUGAAAGCCCGGAGCUCAACUCCGGAACUGCCAUUGAAACUGUAAGACUUGAGGAUGAGAGAGGUGAGUGGAAUUCCCAGUGUAGAGGUGAAAUUCGUAGAUAUUGGGAAGAACACCGGUGGCGAAGGCGGCUCACUGGCUCAUAUCUGACGCUCAGGCGCGACAGCGUGGGGAUCAAACAGG
rnacentral:rRNA from 1 species